CAGCCCUAAACGAUGCGCGUUAGGUGUAUCGGUGACCACGAGUCACCGAGGUGCCGAAGGGAAACCGUGAAACGUGCCGCCUGGGAAGUACGGUCGCAAGGCUGAAACUUAAAGGAAUUGGCGGGGGGAGCACCACAACGGGUGGAGCCUGCGGUUUAAUAGGACUCAACGCCGGGAAGCUCACCGGAUAAGACAGCGGAAUGAUUGCCGGGCUGAAGACCCUGCAUGACCAGCUGAGAGGAGGUGCAUGGCGUAGUCGUG
rnacentral:rRNA from 1 species